GAAAGUAAACAAGGGCGCAUGGAGGAUGCCUAGGCUCUCGGAGGCGAAGAAGGACGUGAUAAGCUGCGAAAAGUUACGGUAAGGCGCAAAUAGCCCUAGACCCGUAAAUAUCCGAAUGGGGCAACCCGGCCAGCAAUGGCCAUACCGCCAAGCGGUAAGCCAACGCGGGGAACUGAAACAUCUAAGUACCCGCAGGAAAAGAAAAUAACAAUGAUUCCGCCAGUAGUGGCGAGCGAACGCGGAACAGCCCAAACCACCCGUGUUACGGCACGGGUGGGGUAGAAGGAUCCACGACACGGCAAGAAAUAAGUUAGCGGAAUACGAUGGAAAUCGUAGCCAGAGACGGUGACAGCCCGGUACGCGAAAACGGACAGAAGCCCAGUGGACACCUGAGUAACCCAGGACACGAGAAAUCCGGGGCGAAUCAGCGGGGCCCAUCCCGUAAGGCUAAAUACUCCCGAGAGACCGAUAGCGAACCAGUACUGUGAAGGAAAGGUGAAAAGCACUUCGAACAGAAGAGUGAAAUAGUUCCUGAAACCAUGUGCCUACAAGCGGUCGGAGCACCUUUUGGUGUGACGGCGUGCCUUUUGCAUAAUGAACCUACGAGUUACUUUUUCCGGCGAGGUUAAGGAUUUCAGAUCUGCAGCCGAAGCGAAAGCGAGUCUGAACAGGGCGUAUAGUCGGAAGGAGUAGACGCGAAACCAAGUGAUCUACCCUUGGGCAGGUUGAAGGAUGGGUAACACCAUCUGGAGGACCGAACCAAUAAGCGUUGAAAAGCUUCUGGAUGACCUGAGGGUGGGGGUGAAAGGCUAAUCAAACUUGGAGAUAGCUCGUACUCCCCGAAAUGCAUUUAGGUGCAGCCUUGACCAUUACUAAUGUGAGGUAGAGCGACUGAUAAGAUGCGAGGGCUUCACCGCCUAUCAAGUCUUGACAAACUCCGAAUGCGCAUCAGUUCUACCGCAGGAGUGAGGGCAUGGGUGCUAAGGUCCGUGCCCGAGAGGAGAAGAAUCCGGACCACCUGCUAAGGUCCCGAAAUAACAGCUAAGUUAAACUAACGAAGUCAGAUUGCUAAGACAGCUAGGAUGUUGGCUUGGAAGCAGCCAUUCAUUUAAAGAGUGCGUAACAGCUCACUAGUCGAGGAGUUUGGCGUGGAUAAUAAUCGGGCAUAAGUAUUCUACCGAAGCUUUGGGAUGAGAAAUCAUCGGUAGGGGAGCAUUCCACUCGGCGUCGAAGGUGAAGCGCGAGCUUUGCUGGAGCGUGUGGAAAAGCAAAUGUAGGUAUAAGUAACGAUAAAGGGGGUGGGAAACCCCCUCGCCGAAAGACUAAGGUUUCCUGAUCAACGCUAAUCGGAUCAGGGUUAGUCGGGUCCUAAGGCUCAGCCGAACGGCGAGGCCGAUGGCAGAACCGGUUAAUAUUCCGGUACUACCUGUGGGAGUGACGUGGAGACGGAGUCGUGACAGCGCCGCGGACUGACGGAAUAGUCCGUUGAAGGGUGUAGAUGCUGAUUGUUCCAGGCAAAUCCGGAGCAAGAGUCGAACCUGAUAGUAUGGAGCGUUCUUAGAACAAUCCAAUAGUGCGUGUAAUCAUACUUCCAAGAAAAUCCGCUAAACUUAAUCCUGCAGGUACCCGUACCGCAAACGGACACACGUAGUCGGGUUGAAUAUACUAAGGCGCUUGAGUGAUUCACGGUUAAGGAACUAGGCAAACUGACCCUGUAACUUCGGGAUAAAGGGUCCUCGCUUAACGGCGAGGCGCAGAGAAUAGGUCCAGGCAACUGUUUAACAAAAACACAGGGCUGUGCAAAAUUUCAAGAUGAAGUAUACAGCCUGACACCUGCCCGGUGCCGGAAGGUUAAGAGGAGAGCUAAUCGCAAGAGAAGGCUUGAAUUGAAGCCCCGGUAAACGGCGGCCGUAACUAUAACGGUCCUAAGGUAGCGAAAUUCCUUGUCGGGU
rnacentral:rRNA from 1 species